CUUAAUUUUCCUCUAAGUGACCAUCUGCGCAGCUAAAAAUUGAGCUGCUCCUUGUUGAAUCCGCUCCAAGUUGGUUCGGCAGAUGUCAACUCCCGGAACAACAUCCAAGCCUUCGUCCUACUUUGAGUAUACACUUUUCCAGAGUUUUGUUGCGGAUUCAAUCAUCCAACCUUCUCUGGUUAUAGUCUACUUUGGCGGUCUUCUUCCUUUUCCAGGCGGUAGUCACGUGCCACUUCCUCAAUUCAUCGAUAACAUGACCAAGAUUGCCUGCCAUAUCAAGAGCCUCCUGACAACAUUCGCAGCAUCUUCCUUACACCACUGCCGGUAUGAGAAAAGAUUAUACUCAAAUUGCGGAAAAAAUAUUAUAUAUAUUUAUAUAUUUUGUCAUUUCGGGAUGGAGUCCAUUUUACAGAAGAACGAAGCCAAGUAGUUUUUGAUGAAAUAAGACGGCGAUUAAUCGGGCGAAUUGGGUACCAAGUUUGGCUGUGGGAUCCAUGCGAAUUGAAUUCGAAAAUAUCGUAUGACUACGUUCCUUUGCCUUUGAAGGAUCGAACAUCAUUCUAGAUUAAUUUUCACUACCGCUCUAUGUUCUCUUUUUAGGCUUCAAUAAAGGACUGAUUGUGGAUGAGAUCCAAACUUAUAAAUUAUUGUUUAUGCUUUAAUUAGUUGAAUUGUGUUAUGUUAAAAUAGUUUAGCCAACAAUAAUUAUCUAUAU